CACAGCCACUUCUUCAACCCCCAAAACAGUCAGUACCACCAGGGCCACCACCACUCAGAAACAUGAGGGACAGAAGCCCGAGGCUCUGAGCUCAGGAAGUGUUGUUGUGAUUGUUUUAAUCUUCAUUGCAAUUUUCAUCCUCGUGUUGGGAGGUCUGUACUACUACAAGAUCAGACGGGCAUCCUACGGUCGUCUCCAGGAGAACAACGAAUACGGCACUCUGGGAAACUUCAGCAACCCCAUGUUUGACCCUUGAAACUUAGCGCCUGACCUUCGAUCCCAGGAGAACCUUAAAGUUCUCGUCCUACAGCCAGAGCCAUUCUGACCACAGCAGUGUGUGAGUGAUGAGUUCAGGACGGUCGGAUUUUGUGACACACUGUCCGGUCGUUUGAUUGCACUGAGUUGCAAAAUGCAAAACAAAAUGUGAUGUUUCUCUUGAUCCUUGCUCAAGUGGCCUAAUUUACUGGAAGUACAAUAGUAGAUUUAACUCAGGUAGCUUUUCAUACAGCUCUGACAGUUUGUGAUCACAUUCCAAGUGGGAACUCUGUUGUUUUUUUUAAGCGUAAAUGUGACAACGAAGACUUGAAAAUGUUUGAAAUUUAACUAAUCCAUUUCAUAUGAAGUGAGUAAAAGGGUGUAUUUUCAUAAUAGGCAUAAGACAGAGAGACUAACCUUUGACAGAAAGCCUACAGUAUCCUUGUUUUCAUUCUGCUGAAGUGGUCUCGAGCAAAGCACUGAAUCCACACCAGCUCCAAGAGCCACAAUCGAACAAAACAGGUGAUUUUGAAAGAACAUCUUGAAUCUCAUAUACAUUAAAUCUGGCCUUAACAAAACACAAGACAGAAAACUGCCUCCAUCCCUGAUCAGGUUUAUUUAAAAGUGAUUUUUAUAUUGUUGAAUGUUUUUGGUGUAAAAUUUCUUCAUGUUUCUGUGAUUCUGCUGCAGUUUUGAUUGUAGUUUUCCUUUUCUGUUUCUUCACAUUCAGGUAAAGAGUGAUGAGUUAUGAUGGUUUUUUUUAUUGUGUGAUGUGAUUGAAUCAUUUGUGCAAUAAAAGUGAGGAAACAGGAGCGUGAA